rnacentral:rRNA from 1 species
UACAGAGGGUGCAAGCGUUGUUCGGAAUUACUGGGCGUAAAGCGUGCGCAGGCGGUUUUGUAAGCCAGAUGUGAAAUCCCCGGACUCAACCUGGGAAUGGCAUUUGGGACUGCAAGGCUGGAGUACGGCAGAGGAGACUGGAAUUCCUGGUGUAGCAGUGAAAUGCGUAGAUAUCAGGAGGAAUACCGAUGGCGAAGGCAGGUCUCUGGGCUGAUACUGACGCUCAUGCACGAAAGCGUGGGGAGCAAACAGG